UACGUAGGGCGCAAGCGUUGUCCGGAAUUAUUGGGCGUAAAGAGCUCGUAGGCGGUCUGUCACGUCGGCUGUGAAAACCCGAGGCUCAACCUCGGGCCUGCAGUCGAUACGGGCAGACUAGAGUUCGGUAGGGGAGACUGGAAUUCCUGGUGUAGCGGUGAAAUGCGCAGAUAUCAGGAGGAACACCGGUGGCGAAGGCGGGUCUCUGGGCCGAAACUGACGCUGAGGAGCGAAAGCGUGGGGAGCAAACAGGAUUAGAAACCCCCGUAGUCC
rnacentral:rRNA from 1 species